rnacentral:rRNA from 1 species
CCUACGGGGGGCUGCAGUGGGGAAUAUUGGACAAUGGGCGCAAGCCUGAUCCAGCAAUGCCGCGUGUGUGAAGAAGGCCUGCGGGUUGUAAAGCACUUUGAGUGGGGAAGAAGGCCUGGGGGUUAAUAGCUUCUGGGAUUGACGUUACCCACAGAACAAGCACCGGCUAACUCCGUGCCAGCCGCCGCGGUAAUACGGACGGUGCGAGCGUUCAUCGGAAUUACUGGGCGUAUUGCGCCAGUAUGCUGUGAAAGCCCUGGGCUUAACCUGGGAACUGCAUUGGAUACUGUUUGACUGGAGUGUGGUAGAGGGGUGUGGAAUUUCCGGUGUAGCAGUGAAAUGCGUAGAGAUCGGAAGGAACACCAGUGGCGAAGGCGGCACCCUGGACCGACACUGACGCUGAGGUGCGAAAGCGUGGGGAGCAAACAGGAUUAGAUACCCCAGUAGUC